rnacentral:rRNA from 1 species
UACGGAGGGUGCAAGCGUUAUCCGGAUUCACUGGGUUUAAAGGGUGCGUAGGCGGGUAGGUAAGUCAGUGGUGAAAUCCUGGAGCUCAACUCCAGAACUGCCAUUGAUACUAUCUAUCUUGAAUAUUGUGGAGGUAAGCGGAAUAUGUCAUGUAGCGGUGAAGUGCUUAGAUAUGACAUAGAACACCCAUUGCGAAGGCAGCUUACUACGCAUAUAUUGACGCUGAGGUACGAAAGCGUGGGGAUCAAACAGGAUUAGAUACCCUGGUAGUCCACGCCCUAAACUAUGGAUACUCGACAUAUGCGAUACACUGUAUGUGUCUGAGCGAAAGCAUUAAGUAUCCCACCUGGGAAGUACGUUCGCAAGAAUGAAACUC